GCGGAACCGGUAUUGCCGGUAUUGCCCGAGCAAUACCAGAAAUCGGCGAGAGGAAAGACAUACAUGAAUGAGAAAUCACUCCGCCGUAAAUAAGCAUCGCAAUACUAGUUCAAUAAAAAAUGCCCAUGAAUGCUCUUCCCAAAGCCAGAUGUCCAACACCAUCUCUCUAAUCACCCGGAAAACGGUGUAGCUCAGCCCGGACGCAGUAUCGGGGCUGGAUACUAGUUCAAAACGAAAGCGAAAGGGGGUGGAUAUUUGUCUGUUUAUACGAAGAUUCAUUGAUAAAUUCUGCGUGCAAAAGUUUUCAAAGAAGAAAAAGACUAGUGAAAGUGGACAAAAUGAGUACUGCGGAUCAGCCGCGGAGGUCCAUUGAAGAUGACCAGGAGCCAGGCAAUGUUGCUGAUGAUGAUACAGGUAUGUACAUAUGACAUAGUUACGUAGAUACAUAGUUGACAUGAUAUUCUUUAGUGAGAAAACUAUAAAAUUAUUUAAUAAUAAUUCACC